rnacentral:rRNA from 1 species
AUGAACGCUAGCUACAGGCUUAACACAUGCAAGUCGAGGGGCAGCAUGGUCUUAGCUUGCUAAGGCCGAUGGCGACCGGCGCACGGGUGAGUAACACGUAUCCAACCUGCCGUCUACUCUUGGACAGCCUUCUGAAAGGAAGAUUAAUACAAGAUGGCAUCAUGAGUCCGCAUGUUCACAUGAUUAAAGGUAUUCCGGUAGACGAUGGGGAUGCGUUCCAUUAGAUAGUAGGCGGGGUAACGGCCCACCUAGUCUUCGAUGGAUAGGGGUUCUGAGAGGAAGGUCCCCCACAUUGGAACUGAGACACGGUCCAAACUCCUACGGGAGGCAGCAGUGAGGAAUAUUGGUCAAUGGGCGAGAGCCUGAACCAGCCAAGUAGCGUGAAGGAUGACUGCCCUAUGGGUUGUAAACUUCUUUUAUAAAGGAAUAAAGUCGGGUAUGGAUACCCGUUUGCAUGUACUUUAUGAAUAAGGAUCGGCUAACUCCGUGCCAGCAGCCGCAGUAAUACGGAGGAUUCGAGCGUUAUCCGGAUUUAUUGGGUUUAAAGGGAGCGUAGAUGGAUGUUUAAGUCAGUUGUGAAAGUUUGCGGCUCAACCGUAAAAUUGCAGUUGAUACUGGAUAUCUUGAGUGCAGUUGAGGCAGGCGGAAUUCGUGGUGUAGCGGUGAAAUGCUUAGAUAUCACGAAGAACUCCGAUUGCGAAGGCAGCCUGCUAAGCUGCAACUGACAUUGAGGCUCGAAAGUGUGGGUAUCAAACAGGAUUAGAUACCCUGGUAGUCCACACGGUAAACGAUGAAUACUCGCUGUUUGCGAUAUACGGCAAGCGGCCAAGCGAAAGCGUUAAGUAUUCCACCUGGGGAGUACGCCGGCAACGGUGAAACUCAAAGGAAUUGACGGGGGCCCGCACAAGCGGAGGAACAUGUGGUUUAAUUCGAUGAUACGCGAGGAACCUUACCCGGGCUUAAAUUGCAGAUGAAUUACGGUGAAAGCCGUAAGCCGCAAGGCAUCUGUGAAGGUGCUGCAUGGUUGUCGUCAGCUCGUGCCGUGAGGUGUCGGCUUAAGUGCCAUAACGAGCGCAACCCUUGUUGUCAGUUACUAACAGGUUCCGCUGAGGACUCUGACAAGACUGCCAUCGUAAGAUGUGAGGAAGGUGGGGAUGACGUCAAAUCAGCACGGCCCUUACGUCCGGGGCUACACACGUGUUACAAUGGGGGGUACAGAGGGCCGCUACCACGCGAGUGGAUGCCAAUCCCCAAAACCUCUCUCAGUUCGGACUGGAGUCUGCAACCCGACUCCACGAAGCUGGAUUCGCUAGUAAUCGCGCAUCAGCCACGGCGCGGUGAAUACGUUCCCGGGCCUUGUACACACCGCCCGUCAAGCCAUGGGAGCCGGGGGUACCUGAAGUGCGUAACCGCGAGGAGCGCCCUAGGGUAAAACUGGUGACUGGGGCU